rnacentral:tRNA from 1 species
GGCCUCAUAGCUCAGUUGGCUAGAGCGUUGGCUGUACUAACGCAUUCCCCUUACUGGCAUGAGUUCAAAUCCCACUGAGGCCG